GUAUGUUGUAUCUGAACAGGUUAGCUUACGAGCUAAAGUUACUUAGCACAGAUGAAAGUUCAAACAAAGACGUUUCUCAAACUGUUAAAGCUCACAAACCAUCGUCAUAUGAGAAAUCCGACGCUAUGACUCUCCACAAGUCGUCCUUCAGGUCGUUAUCUUUGUAAUGUUUGUGUCUUUUAUCAAAAAUCACUCUGUUCUCCGACACAUAAACAAUCAGCCGGUCGGCCAUGUUGGAUAUACCGGUGAAUCUGACGUCGCAACAACACGAAAUCUGAUUGGUCAGAAGUGGACACACAGUGUGUGAAACUUUAGAAAAUUUGGCUGUGAUAGGAAAAAAUAAAUUCUGAGAUAUCACAGGACAGGAAAACGUUGCUGAUGUGGACGCUUGUAUUGACAGGAUACAGGUUUGAAAAAAAAUAUUGACGUCCGAAAUAAUCGCAUGAAAAAAACACUCCCGGUGUGAAAGGACCAGGAAGACCGACUGAUAAUCUCAGUAAUAUUCCACAUAUUUAUCAUGAAUCAAACUUGGACCAGUAAAGUGUUUUCAACUGUAUAUAUCAACUAAUAUUUCUGAAAAUAUUGGUGAGAAUUGGCGAGUUUUGGCCAAUUAUCGAUAAGUCUCAAACGGGCUAAAAUUGGCCAAUUUAAUCGACUCGCCGAUAAAUCAGUGGAGCCCUAAUUUGUUACCUUUAUUUUUAACAAGCCUAAUGUCAAACCUGAUGCCUUCACUCAUUCACUCACUCUUCACUCAGUUCAUUCAUUCAACAGUAGUAUUGGAUCGGUAUCGAAUAUCGGCCGAUACGUCCAGCCCAGGUAUCGUAUCGGACUGGAUCUGAAAAAAUAGAUCAUGCAUCUCUACUCAGUCUUUGUGUCAUCCUCAUGAUCGGUAAAAAAUGUUGUAAAACACUGGAAAGGUGGCCACAGGGCAGCUACAGGACUGCUUUGUAAAACUCAGUGUUGUGCAUGAAGAGAAUAAUGAAUGUAUUUAUAUUUUAAUGAGUUCAAUGAUCAGGAGUGUGAAUGCAGCUCAUCCUGGAGGACCUCAGAGGUAUCCUGAGCUGCAGAGAGUUGUCGAGGUCUGCUGAAAUCAGAUUUACGUUACCGCACAUACACUCAGCGUGGAUGCUGUGGUUAGCUGUAAUUAAUUUAGUGAGUAUCAUCACUGAAAUGAAGCCAAAGCUCUUGAAGAGAAGAAGUGAUGACAGUCCCUGCAGAUGUCAAACCAUGGGGCGAAAACGUGACCUGAAUCCGACAGGUAGUCAUGGUGUAUCACAGCUGAUUUCUACUGUUGUGUUCAAAUAUUAAACUUGAGAAGGAGAACUGAACUUUUUACAGAUUAAAAACCACAAACGUGUCUGUAAAAUCUCUCCACGCUGCUCAUUUAUUCUGUAAACAUUAUUUUCUAUUCAGCCGCCGGGCUUUUCAACCACAAACAGCAUUUUUCAGACAGUUAACAGCCUGAAUCCCAUCAGAAAGGAUCCCUCGGCCUUUAAUGGAGCAGUAAUGUUGAAAUGCUGAGCUGUUUCAUAAUGCAGAGAUGAGAAUUACACUUUGAUUAAUGUUGUGGAGAAAUAAAGAGAGGAGUUAUCUUCUGUGUUAUUAUGCUUUCCUUUCUGUCGUGGUCCCUCUUCAGACCGUCUGUGGACAAAUUGAAUUGUCUUCCCUCUGAAAAGCUGCAGAAUCUACUUCAGUCUGAUUGAUGUCUCUCAAGUAUGUGAAGGAGGAAGAGCUCAAUUAAGGUGUGUGAGCGUGUGUGUGUGUGUGUGUGAGAGAGAGAAAGAGAGAGAGAGAGAGAGAGAAGAAGGGGGGCAGAGUGUAAUUGAGUUAAAGUCUCCCAAGGCCAGAACUGAAUUAAGAGCAGAUUAGAGGCCGAGUGCUGAGUGUGUGAGUGUGUGUGAGAGAGUGUGUGUGUCCCUCUGCACCUCUGUACAUGUGCCUCUGAAUUGCUCCCCUGUGUGUGUGUGUGUGUGUGUGUGAGUGUGUGUGUGCGUGUGAGCAAAAUGGUGCUGAAAGACGAUAUUAAAUGUGGCUCCGAUUUAAAAGCCUGUUUUAUUUUCAUUCAAUUCACAAUCACCUGAGGAGAAAUAGUUCUUGUAAAACAAAAUGUGGAAAUUCAAGAUAUGACAGGAUGAAAGUUUAGAGGUCCUGAGGGGCUUUUUAUUCACUCUGAUAGAGAAUACAAAACAGGCUGAGUGUGUGUUUCAGAUUAACGGUACUACAUCGUGUGAACACGCUGCAUCAACCUUUAUUAUCUUGUUAAAGCUGCAAUAAUCAUUUCUCUACGUCUCAGUGUCUCUUUUAUAGAGUGUGUGCAGAUUAAAGUAUCGCUCACACUGAGAAUCAUUAAAUCUGAGGUUCCCUUCAGAUCUGUAGAAGAUUUUAGUUUUAGGUUUUAUUUCAAACAAGGGGGCCAAAAAGAAACAGCUGUUAGCAAGCUAACUAACAUCAAAAUCAGGAAAUCUGGAAAAUUUCUGGAAAAUUUAGGUAAAUUUUCAGGAUAUUAAAAUAAGUCUGGCAAUUUUCAAGUAAAUUUUAGGAAAAUCUCAAAAUUUUCAGGAAAUCAAAAAAAAAAAAGUUCGGAAACUUUUCAGGAAAUUCCCUCUCAAAAAUAUGGAAAAUUUCAGGUAAAUUUCAGGAAAAUCUCUGCGGAUCUUCUGGGAAAUCUAGAGAAAUUUUCAGAAAAUUCUCAGAAAAUUUUGAAAAAAUCUAGAAAUUUUAAGGUAAAUUAUAAAAAAAUCAAUAGGAAUUUUCUGAAAAAUCUAAAUAAAUUAUUGGAAAAAUUUUUAGGAAAUUUUUAGAAAAUUUUGGAAAAAUUUCAUGAAAUUAAAAAAAAAAUCUGGAAAUUUUUAGGCAAAUUUUAGAAAAACGGGAAUUUUUCAGGAACAUUUUUAGAAUGUCUUUGGAAAUGCUGUUAUCCUUUUUUGAUCUUCACUAUUGAAACCGCUGAUCCUUUACUAUAAAAUUUCCAUAAAUAAUAAUCUUUCCUUUUAAUCUCAUAUUUUUAACUUUUUUUUAACUUUUCAACCCUUUUGCAAUGCACCUGAUUGCAAUUAAGUUUAUUUUUUUUCAAAUAGUUGGCACACCAGGAUGGAUAUGAAGGAUUUUGACACUUUUUUUUUAAACCUUUCUAUUAAUGAGGAGAAAUCUAAAUGUAUGCCCAGUAUCAUAUGACAAGUAAGAGGAAUAGGAAGAUGUGGAAUUAGCAUUGGUAUUUUUUUUAUCCUGUUACGUGCCGCUCGUUCAGGUUCAGGACUCCUACCCUGGUUUCCUGUUUUUGUGGGUUAAUUGAAGUAAACCUCCACUUGAAAUACUGCUGUCUAGUGGAAAUAUCUGAACUUUCUGUCCAUGUCCUGGAGUCUAUUAUUCAUGUUAUCCUGACACAAGCUGCCUUGAGAGAGUGUUUUUCAAACAAACUGAGCUGAAGUGAUUCAGUGACGAGUGCGACUUCAGAAUGAGUCACAGCGAAGUGAAUAACUCUCACAGAGGGCAUGUAAGCAGACCCUCGCCUCGCAUAUGCCAGAUAUGUUUCAUUAGCGGGAGCUUUUCUGUCAUUGUCCAAGAAAUGUGACAUGAGUCAUAAAUGAGUCAUUCGUCACUGAGUUCAAAUUGACUUAUAGGCCUCUGAUUUGACCUAUCAUGACCUUCUGAACCACACUACCGCACAUAGCAGAACCUCAGAGCGAGGGAUGAUGCGUCUCUCCACAAAAAGGUGUCCUGGGCUGCACCUUCCUCCUCUCAAACCACUUACAGAUGUUGAAAAGAUUUCAAAAAGCCUCCUCUCACUUCCUGCUCUGACGUCGUGUCUACAGAGCUGAGAAUGUGGAUGUUGCACCGGCACAAAUACGGCGUCAGGCACGGCCGCCCUGCAGCAAUGAUGUCAUUGUCCCGCCCUGUGUUUUGGCACAAUCCGGGCAAGAUUACGAGUGUUCGCUCAAUCUGUUAAUCUCAUUCACUUUGUCCGGUGUGUGACUGUAUGUUAUUUUCUUCCCCUCUUUGUCUACGCUGUGACUGAUGGCGUCCACAUCACCUGGCAUGUGUGACCGUAAAAACGUCCAGGGUAAGAAACGGCAAUUGUGUGUGGGUGCGUUUGAUUUGUAUGCGUCAGCAGCUGCCUCUGGGUCUUUGUCCCCUCCAGAUGUUUCCCUGAGCCACCCAAAGUGCUGCAGCCAGAGAGCAGAAAUCCACCAGAGGCCGUAAAGCCCGGGCUGUAAAUUCGCUGCGUGCCUCAACCUCUAUUUGCACCUGAAUGGAUUCAUGCUGUGAGGCUUGAGUAGGGGAAGAAACUGACUCACAUACAAUGCAGCGCAGGCACAAAGUGAAGGAAGCCGCAUGCAUCCUCCCCCUCCUCACUUGUUGACCAGGCUGUGCAGGAGAAGCUGCUUUUAAAUGGAAAUGAGGAGCAAUUGUUGACCCGCAUUUCUACAACGAGAUGAGGCGAAGACGAGCUAACAGGGGAUGUGAGGAGACGCUUUAUCUGGAUGUAAUGACGCAUUUGGUCAGCUGCUCUCUGAAGGGUCCUAAAAGUGUCCUCAGAGUAAUUACAGAAGAAACAACGAGGUCGGGGUUUAGCUUUUGGACUGUUUACAGGCUUUUGUCCACUAUGUUGUAAGGAGACAGGAUUAAAGCGUACAUGUGUUUAGGUUUUAGAUUUAAAGGGACAGUUCACCCAAACAACAAAUUGAUGCAUUUUAACCCGAGAACACUAUCACCGGGUGAUUUUCAUGAUGUUGCGUUUGUCUGAGUAUCAUGGGUCUAUGGGUAGCUUCAGCAUUUCCUUUGACAUCUUUGAAGACAUAUUUGUUUCCCUUAUCCAAAACCUGAUUUUUCCUACAGACACAUGUUCACAGGGUGAUUUUCACCCGGCAAUAGUGAUAGAGGGUAAAGUAGGUUUGGGUGGAUUUGAUAGCUGCAUGUAGGGAAUAAGGUCAGUAAGAGUGGUCCUGGAAUCUACAUGCUAUCUUUAUUUAGCGCAGUGGUUAUGAAUAACUAUCACAAAGUAGAGAUUUUUUAAGGGAAUUUAUGUGGUGAUAAGAAAUAUUUAAGUCAGCUGGUCAUUUUUACUCCAAAUCUUCCAUAUUUUGGUUCUCUCUCCUGCAUCUGUUAUUGUGCCAAAGACCCUGAGUCUGAACCAGGGAAGACUCACAUGAACCAGGAAUGGGUGGAGAAGAAACUAAGUUUAUAGUUUAUAUAUAUUUUUAUUUUAGGAAUUUUUUAUUCCCCUCAUGGCACUUUUUUCCUCCCUUUGGACAUUGCACAGUUAAAAAUAAACUACUUUAAUUUGUCACAUAUUGUCCUACUUUGAUAUAUUUUGAUGACAAGUACUUUUUCUUGUGUAUCUUAUUUCAGGUAAAAAUCACCCGCUGAUUGUAAUGGUGUUACUAAUUUUAGUGAUAGUGUUCUAGGGUUAAUGACAAAUGAGCUCAUGAGGAAACUAAAUAUUUCCGACGUUUGAUCAGAUGGAUGAAACUUUUGGUGAAAAACACUACUUAGGCAUACAGAGGAGGAGAAAGGCAGAGACUGUUUUGUCCACAGGGGGCACCAAACUGACACAAACUGAAAGUUCCACACCAGAGCUUUAAAACAAAAAGUUUUUCUUCUUGGCACUAGUUUGGGAAAUCAAAAAAACUGUCUUCACAGAUACAACAUAAACCUGUUUACGGUAAUAAGAAGUGUGAAGAAAUGAAAAUAUUUAGCUGUGGCACCAUUCAGUUUCUAGAUUAACAUGCUCCCUUGCUCACCCCUCCAGCUGAUAAGGCUACAGUGGCCUUUUAGGACAAAAAGCUCCUGCUGUACAUGAUCAGUACAAUCCUCCUUUUUUCAAGACUUACCAUCAAAAACAUUUUCCAAUACAAAUAAAUUUUGCACAAAACAGUCGAUGUCUUUUCCUUCUUCUUUGUCUUCCGACCAAUCACAAGAUACAAAAACACAUCUGCUGUUGACGGUUUGUCCGUAUUCUGCAAAAAUCCUGCAAAAUAUUAUUGGUCUUAAAAUUAUAAGUCUUAUAAUUACAUUAUUUAAAGUUCCUGUGAGGAACUUCUAUUCUGUGUCAGGUUUGGCGCCCCCUGUGGACAAAGCAGUCCAAUCAAAUCUCAUCACUUUUGUCAAAUUCAUCAUUUUUUGUUGUGAAUGCUUUUUGUGGAAAAUACAAAAACAAGACUGUUUCUGCAGCUUCUUGGCUGACACCUUCCCUCCUAAUCUUUGUCGUGUUUCUUGCCUUUGAAUAAAUCACAUCAUAAAAUGCCUCUAAUAUGAAUUUCAGUCGAUCUUAUAAACUUAAAAAACUCCACAUGAGAGCUUGAACUGAUCUCAGAGCAAACAAAGACUCUGUUUGUUUGUGGAGAAACAAUAUUCCUGUUCCUGCUAAGACUCCACAGACCUCCUCGGUAACCAGGUUAGGCUCGGCUUUCUGCACAAACUCGAUUACUUCAGCGUAAACUCAAGAAACCAGGUUCCACUAAUUGGUGGUGGGGGAUUAGAUAACGCGGUUACCCAAGAUAAACAUCACCUAGAGAGGGUUAAAUUCCUUUUCUAGUCCACAUGUAACCUGGUUACGCAUCACUUUUCCCAUGGUUGUGUACAAAGCGUGAAAACGUCAGGUUACAAAGGUCUGCAGGAGUUUCUUCUCCUCGUGUUUUUGGAGCCUGUUUUCAGCCGUGAAGCUGAUUUAAGAGUAAAGUUUGUGUUUUCUUUUAAUCACUCUCUCUCUGCUUUCCUUCACUCCCUCUCCCUGCCCUACAUUCUCUCUCUCUCCCCUUUGUUUCUGCCUCUCGCACGCCCACAUGCUCACGUACAUAUGUUUACUUACGUUUGAGCCGUGUACUCUGAACGCCACAUUAACUCCAUUUUGUCACUCAUCAUAGAGCCGUGUUAACACCGCGACCUUUCAGCGCACGGGCUGACGUAUCAUUACUGAUACCCUGCGAGAGCCCGGGACUGCGCCCAUUAGAGGGUCAUUUAACAACCUCAGCGUAAUGACAAAAUCACUCCCUGUAGGUGCGCUAAAUGGAACCGAUCCACAAACACAAAGAGCGAAGCGAAGCGCAGAGCUUGAUCUUGUUUUGCAUCAGUUGAUGUAAGAAUUGAGGAAUGUUAAAUGCAAAUAAACAAGGCCGUCGAUUUGGGCGCCUAUGGCUGGAUUGUGAGCGAUUGAUUGCAGAGAUGGUGAAGAUUUCUAUCUUGAUUUUUAUGUCAUCAAACAACCAGAACAGUUCAGUUGCUGUGAGCUGUGCAGAGACAGAAACACAAGUUUCAGUCAUAGGGAACUUUACUGUUUCUCGGAUAGACUGCAGAAGAGUCUUAUUAGACUCUUCUGCAGUCUAUCCCAGAAACAGAAACAGUUUUUCUUUAACAAGAACUCAUCCUAACCUGAUUUAUUUAACUGAAAUCAUGUGAAGGAAACCCCUACUCACACAUCUUUGAGCAAUUAAAUGGAGCAAGUUAUUUGUGCAAAUUAAGAAAGUAAAGCCAAAUAUCUCAAAUAUGCACAAAUUCGGCGAGUAUUUAUGGAAACUGGAGUGAAAACAACAUAACAAAAGUGAGAUAGGAUUGCAUGUAAAGCUGCUGCUGUGUGCACAGAGUGUGAAAUCACACACCUGGACAGCAAUAGCAGGAAGUCAUGGGAUCGAUAUGAGAGUGUAAAGACAUGAAGACGUUGAAGUCGGCUCCUGAUUCGCACAGUUUUUCUAAAAAGUCGGGUUCUGAUGUGCAUCUGUGCAAUUUAUGCUUUAAAUCUCAUGCAUGACUGAUUACUAUGCAUAGACCCCAAAUUACGAUGCUGUGUGACCCCCUUCUAAAAGCAGAAAAAACAAGCAACACUAUUUCUUCAAUCUUAAAUGUUCACAUCUGGAGAGGCUGAGUGCAAACAAACCGGGCGGCGUUUUUUUUUUCAGCUUCUGAGGGGCUAAAAACGGGGCAGACCCUUGAGAUGCUCUCUGGAGUCCAGAGCUGUCUAAGUCUGGCUUUAUUAUGGAGAGCACACACACACACACACACUCACACACACAGAAUAACAGCACCGGGGGGCACACACUCAUCAGAGAGGCUCCAGUUUGUGCACAGUAACACCAAUUUAGGGGAAUGUGCAGGGCUGAACACAUGUUAGCUUAUUAAUGUUUGCAAUUAAAGUCACGCUGUAUGUAGCUGCUGGCUAACGGCACAGCCACAGAAUCGCAGCGCUCACAACAAGCUUGUUUUUAAUGAUUGCAUGUGCAGCUUUAGAAAAACUCGCCGCCAGCCAAAGAGUUUCCAGUCUGUAACUUUCCUCUUGCAUAUUUAAAAGCGGGCGUGCUGCCUCUCCCAGAAAACAGAGGCAGAAAUCCUCACUCCGUGUUGUUUACCUCUGACAUAUCACGGAAAACUUCCUCGCACCUUUAGCCUCCGAGGGGAAUUCAUGUUAGCAUAGCGAUAUUAGCCCUGAGGCAGCUCGGCAACAACACAGCGCAUGUUUUCCACUUACGGUUUUGCACAUUUGUCAGUGAAUGCCUACUGAAGUCCUCCCUGCGUGUGCUGGAGCAACAUUCGCUCAAACAUAAAUCAACUCAACAACAAGACGCCAAAGCCGUUAGCUCAGUUUGCUAAUUCAGUUCUUUCAGCACUUUGAGGGGGAGACGGGGGAGUUUUGGGUGAUUCGGGGGUACCUUUUGCAGAGGCAGCAAUAUCCCUUCAUAAUUUAAAAUCAACAGGCUGGAGGCUGUGCGGGCCAGACGUGGAUUACAUAGUCAAACAAAUGCUUUAGCCCCUGUCCGUGGCUAUCAAAACAGCCAUUAGCAUUUCCGCGGCUGGUAAUCGCUGGCGUUGAGAAAACAAGGAGGAAGCCCUCUCAGCUGGCUUCCCACACAUGGUUACAAAGUGGGCUUAAGCACGCCUGCCACUCAUGUUGUGGGCGAGCACUCACACACACACACGCGAAACACACUAAACACACAUGGAGGCAUUUAUUUUCUAGACGUUCACACACUCGCACGCUGUGUCACCGGAUUCCAUGCCCUCAGGCUGAUGGUCGACACGGCGGGUUCCCAGGGGCGGAUCGUGUCGGGCAGUUAGAAACCAGUAAGAAAGCAAUUAAGUCAUCAGCAUUCAGUCUGCAGAGGAGGAAGAGGAAAUUGCCAGAAGUAAUUUGAAGGGGAAACGAGCAGAACAAUAGGACCUUCUAAGAUAUGAAAUUUGUAGGUAUCUCAGAUCUUUAAGAAGCGAAUUGGUUCUGAUGUGACCCUGAGUUUAGACCAGCACGUGUUAGGAGUUUAGGAGGACUUCAGGAGGCGCUGUGGGGUGACGACGCCUGAAACGGAGUUCCUCGGAUGAAUGUAGAAGGAGGCUGCAGUUCUCAGUCUUCAAAAUCAAACAAUCUGCAAAAACAAGCAUGACCUUCGAUAAUGUGUCUCACCAUGACUAACGUCAACCUUCUGCUCUGUGAAGCUUUGAAAAACCUGAGAAAAAAAUGUAGGACCAACACCUUCUCACAUCUAAAGCCACAUUAGUCACACAGCAGAAAGUUUUUCAACAACUGGGGGCCUGAUUCAUAAAAGGUUUGUGCAGCUCUGGAGUAAACCAAACGUGCAAAUGAGACGACAAAUCGUGGUUUGAUUUACGAAACUGUAAAUAUCGUCUCUUUGCACCGGUGUUGUUUGCAGACGUUUACAUGUGGGAUAUAAGCGCCCCGUUUCUAUUCGAAUGAACAAACAGCCACACAAAGUUGGAGAGAAUAAGCAGCUUUGUGAUGGAGUCUUGUGGAAGUCAGUUUAUUUUUUUAAAAUCAAAAUACAGAUAAAGAGCAAGGAGAGGAAAAAGAGGAGGUAGGGUAUUUGUGCGCCUGAAAAGGGACAGGAAGUGCAUGAAGAGAGAGGCGAUCACAAGCGUGCAAGAGCGAACUGCCAAACUAGAAAAUAAGGCCCCGUUUAAAAACUGAGACAUUAACCAUCGUUUGCACCCUUCGUUUAGCCGCAAAACCGUGUUACCACGCUACUGGGUAUUAAAAGCCAGCAUAAAUAAGUAUGUUUUCAACCGGGAUUGAAAAAGGCCCAGGUUCGGAAAUAUGUCUCAUUUUGGUAGGGCGUUUAUUCCACAGACUGGGACCAACGACUGAAAAGUCUCGAUCACUCCAGUGUUUGUGUUUUGACCUGAGCACCUCCAGCAGAAGUUGGUUUGACGACCUCAGAGCUCUACGCGGCUCCAGGUCGGUUAAAAGUUCAGUUAAAUAGAUGAGGGCGAAAUUAAAAACUAACAUUUAAAGUUUAAAAUCAAUCCUAAAAGAGACGGGACGCCAAUGAAGGGAGGUAAGGACAAGAGUGAUGUGCUCGUGUCUGUUAGUGUUCGUUAAAAGACGGGCAGCAGCUUUUUGGACAAGUUGAAGGCGACUAAGAGAUGAUUGGGAGAUGCCGACAUAAAGGGCAUUACAAUAGUCUAAUCUUGAACUGAAACAUUUUGACCUGAUGUUAUUAAAGAUAUUAAAAGACUGACUGAUCAGCUGAUCUGCAGGAAAUCCCUGUUUUUUUGAAUCACACAGUUUGAUAAUCACUCAGACUGUCUCAGGGUCGAUGCUGUCAAGUGUGUAUUUGGUUAAUUUGUUGUAAAAUCUCGCUUUUCUAAGAAGGAUCAUCAUUGAAACAAACAAAAGCAGCUUGGCGAUUGACUGUUAAACUCGGCGUUAAAACACACACUCACACUCUCACACAGACACACACACACACUCUCUACAAAUACACAAGUUCAGGUGGGUCUGCUCCUGCCACUCACCUCCUCUUUGAACUGCUAAUAGUUAAUUACUUCAACAUUUCUCAGACAGCUGAAAGGCUCACACACCAUCUGUGAUUGAUUCCUGCGGCUCGCUGUGUGUCCUUUGAAGUUGAUUUAUUUCCUGAUAGAGUCGUGGAAAGGCCGGAGCGCCUAUCUCCAACAUCAACGCCGUGUUUUUAAGAGAACAACAUUUACAUAUCAAGUAAUAACCGUGGUCUGUUUCCUCUGCACGAGCAGGAUGAAUAUCAGUGAUGGAGUUUCUCCUGCAGGUUUGAUCAGGUAUUAAAUCAUCUGAAUCUUGACAGACGGAAACACGUUUAUUAGCCCCUCUAAAAAGUGAAAAGGAGCAUUUUUAUACUAAUCUGAAUAAACUGAUGUUUAGUCAUCCAUUAUCAGAUGAUUGCAUUAUAUAUUCAGGAUUUAUUUUAUUAUGCAAGAAUGAUCGUCUCAUCGUUUUGGAGUAAGUUGUUUUGGUGGAUUUGGAGUGUGAGAAGAAACAGAAAGAGACAAAAAAAAGGACAAUCAUGAGAAACUUAUAAAAAGUAAAUUUUGACAUCAAGAUUGAAAUCUUUUUAAGUUUUGUUGAAUAAUAAAAGUAGGAAGAGGCUUUUCUGGGCGUCAACUCCUGUUCUGAGGUCGGAUGAAUCAAAGUUGGGCUUCGUUUUUGGAAAUCAUGGACUCAAAAAAAGGGGAAAAGGAGACCCAGAAUUACCGAGGUGGUCUACAUUCUCCAUCACAGAAGAAUUGGACCACUUUUCACCCUCAAACCUCCAGAAACCAUUCUCUUCAGCUCCUCAGUUCUCCGUUGACGGUGCUUCGGUUUUCGUCAUUUCUGCAAAAGACACAAAAUGUAGUUAAAAGUUAAAUUCACCACCAGUGUGUCUAACCGUCUGCAGGUUUGGUCUCCUCUCUGUUUGCAGUUAAGUUCUCCACCCCCCCUGGUUUGUAUUGAGCAGCCAUCCCAUAAUAACAUGUGCUUCCAUCAGACAGCAUGAACCACAGUCUGUGAGCGUCUGCUGCCACCGAGAGCUGUUUACAUUUCUAUAAGCUUCAUGUAUGGCACGCUGCACGGCCAGCUCUGCCAAGCCGAGCACGGUGUGUGUGUGGGUACAUAAGUGUGUGUGUGUGUGGGUACAUUAGUGUGUGUGUGUGCAGCAGGAGCAGAGAGAUGGUUGAGCCAUCUGUCCUCACCACAGUGGAACUGAUAAAGCUGUCAGACCAGCGCCAUGUGAGUCCCUCCCCCUCAUCAUCACCUCUAUGUCACUAAUUACAACCUGCAAGUGUGUGUGUGUGAGAGUGUGUCUUUGUGCUAGUGUUUGUUGCUCUUGUGCUGUUACUGUUUUUAUUUGUCAGCAUGAAUCGAUCGUGUCGAUACUUUUAGUCAAAUUCAAUAAAAGCAGCAAAAAAAUGAAGAAAAAUCUGGUUUAUUGUAAAAAUGUUCGAAUGUUCAAAUCCUCUUUUCAGGUUCUGUGAAACUUCCUCCUGCAGUUAAUGCGCCUCUCCUCCAUGUGUGUGUGUGUGCGUGUGUGUGUGUGUGUGUGUGUGUGUGUGUGUGUGACAGGUAAAUGCGUCACAGAUGGUGACAUCACAGCAGGUGGCCGCUCUCCAAAGCUGGCAACGUGGCGGGGGAGGCGGUCUCAGUGAGAGAAUAGUGACAGGGCCGUCGCUAUGGGAGGCAGAUAUACCCUGACAACGUCCUGGAUACGGACACACCCACUUCCUCCACAUCUCACGCACACACACACACACACACACACACACACACACACACACACACACACACACACACACACACACACACACACACACACACACACAUAUCGACACACAGGCACCUGAGAAAGUGUCAGGGCGACAUCUUCACGUUGCAGGAGUUCAGGUGUGAGCUUUAACUUCUCUAAUGACUUCCAGGAUGACAGGAUCCAGGAUCAGGGUUUGGGGUCUUUGUUAGAGUCUAAGAUUCAUCCUCAGGUUUGAGAUCUUUGAACCUACAUGAAGGAGUAAUCCCUGGAAAAACUCCUCAGUACAGAUCCAAAGUGUUCAAGCUGUGAAACUUCAGGUCCUUACACACUGAGAAAGACGCAAAUAUGCGACGAGUAAUCACGAAAUAUUUGGAGGUGAAUUUUGACGCGCCUGACUAUACACAUCGAGCGCGAUGCGACUUUGCAACUUGACUCUCCACAAGUCGUCCUUCAGGUCGUUAUCUUUGUAAUGUUUGUGUCUUUUAUCAAAAAUCACUCUGUUCUCCGACACGUAAACAAUCAGCCGGUCGGCCAUGUUGGAUAUACCGGUGAAUCUGACGUCGCAACAACACGAAA